rnacentral:rRNA from 1 species
AGGCCUGCAGCUUGCUGCGGGUACUCGAGUGGCGGACGGGUGAGUAACACGUGGGUGAUCUGCCUUGCACUUCGGGAUAAGCUUGGGAAACUGGGUCUAAUACCGGAUAGGACAGCUGUUUAGUGUCAGUUGUGGAAAGUUUUUUCGGUGCAAGAUGAGCUCGCGGCCUAUCAGCUUGUUGGUGGGGUAAUGGCCUACCAAGGCGUCGACGGGUAGCCGGCCUGAGAGGGUGUACGGCCACAUUGGGACUGAGAUACGGCCCAGACUCCUACGGGAGGCAGCAGUGGGGAAUAUUGCACAAUGGGCGGAAGCCUGAUGCAGCGACGCCGCGUGGGGGAUGAAGGCCUUCGGGUUGUAAACUCCUUUCGACAGGGACGAAGCGUAAGUGACGGUACCUGUAUAAGAAGCACCGGCUAACUACGUGCCAGCAGCCGCGGUAAUACGUAGGGUGCGAGCGUUGUCCGGAAUUACUGGGCGUAAAGAGCUCGUAGGUGGUUUGUCGCGUCGUCUGUGAAAUUCCGGGGCUUAACUCCGGGCGUGCAGGCGAUACGGGCUGACUUGAGUGCUGUAGGGGAGACUGGAAUUCCUGGUGUAGCGGUGAAAUGCGCAGAUAUCAGGAGGAACACCGAUGGCGAAGGCAGGUCUCUGGGCAGUAACUGACGCUGAGGAGCGAAAGCAUGGGUAGCGAACAGGAUUAGAUACCCUGGUAGUCCAUGCCGUAAACGGUGGGCGCUAGGUGUAGGGGGCUUCCACGUCUUCUGUGCCGUAGCUAACGCAUUAAGCGCCCCGCCUGGGGAGUACGCCGCAAG